rnacentral:rRNA from 1 species
AACGUAGGUGGCGAGCGUUAUCCGGAUUUACUGGGCGUAAAGGGUGUGCAGGCGGGCUGUUAAGUGGUGCAUGAAAUCUCCGCGCUUAACGUGGAGAGGCUGCGCCAGACUGGCAGUCUAGAGUACGAGAGAGGGUUGUGGAAUUCCGGGUGUAGUGGUGAAAUGCGUAGAUAUCGUAAGGAAGACCAGUGGCGAAGGCGGGUCUCUGGACAGUUCCUGACGCUGAGGCACGAAGGUCAGGGGAGCAAACGGG